GACGAACGCUGGCGGCGUGCUUAACACAUGCAAGUCGAACGGAAAGUCCCUGCUUUUGUGGGGUGCUCGAGUGGCGAACGGGUGAGUAACACGUGAGUAACCUGCCCUUGACUUUGGGAUAACUUCAGGAAACUGGGGCUAAUACCGGAUAGGAGCUCCUGCUGCAUGGUGGGGGUUGGAAAGUUUCGGCGGUUGGGGAUGGACUCGCGGCUUAUCAGCUUGUUGGUGGGGUAGUGGCUUACCAAGGCUUUGACGGGUAGCCGGCCUGAGAGGGUGGCCGGCCACAUUGGGACUGAGGUACGGCCCCGACUCCUACGGGAGGCAGCAGUGGGGAAUAUUGCACAAUGGGCAGAAGCCUGAUGCGGCAACGCCGCGUGCGGGAUGACGGCCUUCGGGUUGUAAACCGCUUUCGCCUGUGACGAAGCGUGAGUGACGGUAAUGGGUAAAGAAGCACCGGCUAACUACGUG
rnacentral:rRNA from 1 species